rnacentral:rRNA from 1 species
UACGUAGGGGGCAAGCGUUGUCCGGAAUCAUUGGGCGUAAAGAGCGUGUAGGCGGCUUGGUAAGUCCGCUGUGAAAGUCCAGGGCUCAACCCUGGAAUGCCGGUGGAAACUGUCAAGCUUGAGUCCGGAAGAGGCGAGUGGGAUUCCUGGUGUAGCGGUGAAAUGCGUAGAUAUCAGGAGGAACACCGGUGGCGAAGGCGGCUAUCUGGACAGAAACUGACGCUGAGGCGCGAAAGCUAGGGGAGCAAACAGG